GACAGUAUGGCCGAGUGGUUAAGGCGUUUGACUCGAAAUCAAAUGGACUUUGUCCGCACAGGUUCAAAUCCUGUUGCUGUCG